UAGAGCGCGGCACCGGAGCGUCAGGGCCCCUGCCAUCAGGACGUGCAGACCCCGUGCUCCUGGUACCUGGGAACCGUCGCCAUUGCUCUCCCGGAGGAAGUCGGCCAGAGAAAGGGGAGCGUCGUCCCGGACCAACAACAACACCUGAACAGCUAGAGUGAGGGGCCAGAGGGCGGGAGCCUCUGCAAGGCAGGCACGGCCAGAGGGUCACGGAAAUGGACAUUGCUGGCUGGGCCAAUAUCGAUUGCCUAUCCCCAUACACAUUUGAGAAGAUGAUGGCUGUUUCACUGACCAAUAGCCAUAUGUUGGCUUGGGCAGAAAGAGAUAUAGAGAUCUAUGAGGAUUUUGCUGGAAAGCUAUAACACAUGGACAGUAAUUUUUACCUUUCCCUUCUGAACCUUUUCCCUGUCCAGAAACUAAACACUCAUAAGGAAGAACUGAUUUUUUUUUCUUUGUAAUUAAACAAUCACCAAUUAAGCAGUUACAAACUGAGUCUACCAGAGGCAAUGUUACGAAAACCAAAGCCAAAAAAGGAAAAACAAGGAAGUAGUCUCAAUAAAAAUGCUGUUGGUGGGAUAAUAAUAUACCUUAUGGUAUCAAACUUCUCUAAAGGCUUCAGGUUUGCCAGUGGACACUAUGAAGUCCCUAUCCAAAGACAUGAAAUUGAGGCAGGCCAGCAGGAAUUAUUGUCACCUUCAUAGCCUCCUGCCUGAAUCUGUCGAUGUCUAUGUGAGCCACGCCCAGGAACCGGUCCUUGAGACGUGCCUUUGACUUGUCUGCCUGCCUUCACUGCACCAGGUACUUAAAGAUCUUUAGUACAGGGAAGUGCAACCAAAUAGAAGGGUUUAUUAGAGAUAAUUAAACAGGAGGUGCAACCUACCAUAAUCUAUAUACAUGUGGUCCACUGAUUGCAUGACAUUGAAAAACAAAAGAACUCAGUUGCCCUGGUGGGAUUUGAACCUGUUCCCCAGUGCGUAAACCUAGUGUACUUGACUCCCGAUGCUGUAGUGUUUCCUCAGCAUGCAACUCUGAAGAAGAUAUGAAUGAGAAAUUCCGUUCAUUGGUUUUCUCUUCAUGAAAUUGUGCUGGACUGGAUGCUGAAGUUUUCCCUCUUGAAUCAGUUUUUCCUGGAUCAGUUGAAUCCAUGUUCCGAGGAGUAAGUAUCAGCAACAAUCUGCCUUAGUCCGUUGAUGUUGACGCUACAGUUAAGAAAAUGCACCAAUGCCUCUACUUCCUCGGAAAGCUAAGGAAAUUUGGCAUAACAACAAUGAUUUUACCAAAUUUUAUAGAUGCACCAUAAAAAGCAUCCUAGCCAAAAACAUCACAGCUUGGUAUGGCAAUUGCUCUGCUCAAGACCAUAAGAAAUUACAGAGUUGUGAAUACAGCCCAGUCUAUCACACAAACCAGCCCUCCAUCCAUUGACUUCUCCUAUACUUCCAGUUGAUUCGGGAAAGCAGCCAACAUAAUCAAAGACCUCUCCCACCUUGGUUAUACUCUCUGGCACCCACUUUUAUUAGGCAGAAGAUACAAAAGUUUGAAAACGUGCAUCAACAGAUUCAAGACCAGCUUAGUCCUGGCUGUUAUGCGUCAGUCAUAGAGUUGAUCAUUCUCUGCACCUUCUCUGCGGCUGUAACACUAUGUAUUCUGAAAUCUGAUCUACUAACUUGAUAUAUAAGGUAUGAUUUGUCUGGAUAGCACCCAAAACAAUAACUUUCACUGUAUCUGGAUGCAUAUGACAAUAAUAAAUGUCUCACAAACUUGAUUGAA